CUAAGCGUCGUCCCGGCACCAUCCCCAACCCUAGCCUCCGCCUCUCGUAGCUUCAGAAGCGCCCGAAACUUGUCAAUUAUCGGCGUUGACGGCUUCUGCGCCAGCUCAUUUGGCAUCGCCUUGUUGUUAUUAGUGAAUGCAAGUGAAGGUGAAGGCGAAGGUCUAGGGUUUUGUAAGAUUUUCCCAGAUUCCAUUCAACUUCACAGAAAUCAAUAGUAUUAAUAAUGAAUUAGGGUUUGGGUUUUGAAACAUGAGCAGUCUGUUCGGUUACUAGAAUGGUAUCGAACAAGUUCAAUACAAGAAGCUCGUCUCUGUCCCGUUUUAGUGCGUUCUUUUAGCGUGAUACAAAUUCGUGCAAUUAUCAUGAGCCGAGAGUCGAGACGGUGGAGAAAUCUUUUUUUUUUUUUAAGGGUUUGGGGACUACUAUCCGGAUUUGAUCUACGGUUAUUAUAGUGACAGAAGUAGGGUCCACGGGAUCUUUUCUGGACAAAUAACUGAAUUCUUGUCCAAACGUGAAGUACGUGGACGUUGAUUAACGCACUCACACCUUUGUUUUAAUAUGAGUACACAAAUGGGAACUUGAUCACAGCGAUUUUGAUUUUAGGUCCGCGAAUCGCACGGAUUUUAACUGUUUAAAAGAAUGUUCAAGUGGACCCCAACAGAAGACAGUCAAGACACUUCCACUGUGCCACAAUCACACUCUCCUCUUAGUUUUGUUUCACCAUUUACAGAUAUAUAUGGACAGUAAUAGUGCGGCGUUUGCAGCGGAUUUAUCAUUAUCAAACUCAAACGCACAUAAAAUUUAAAUUAUUAAAUUCACUCACAAUUUACUGUAGAUUUUAAUUUUUUUAAAAAAAUUCAUCCAUUGUAGAUUUUGACAAUUAUCAAACUUAUAAUGGUACCCAAUAGAUUGACAAUAUAGGGAUGGUAAUAGCGCGGCGUUUGCAGCGGAUUUACCAUUAUCAAACUCAAACCCGCAUAAAAUUUAAAUUAUCAAAUCCAGUCACAAUCCAUUGUGGGUUUUAAUUUAAAAAAAAAAACUCAUCCGCUAUGAAUUUUGACAAUUAUCAAACUUAUAAUAGUACCCAAUAGAUUUUUUGUAAGUUUUCUCAUUUGGCAUCGCCUUGUUGUUAUUAGUGAAUGCAAGUGAAGGUGAAGGCGAAGGUCUAGGGUUUUGUAAGAUUUUCCCAGAUUCCAUUCAACUUCACAGAAAUCAAUAGUAUUAAUAAUGAAUUAGGGUUUGGGUUUUGAAACAUGAGCAGUCUGUUCGGUUACUAGAAUGGUAUCGAACAAGUUCAAUACAAGAAGCUCGUCUCUGUCCC
rnacentral:lncRNA from 1 species